AGCAUCUCCACAGCAUCAUCAGCAUGUCAACGUUUUUUUUUUUUGUUUUUUUUUUCCAGCUUUUGCUGGACCAGUGAUAGAAGGAUGCUGAUGUUGGUGCUGCUGAUGAUGAUGAUGGUGAUGAUGAUGAUGAUGAUGAUGAUGAUGAUGGUGGUGGUGGUGGUGACUCAUCCGCAGCCUUCCACUAUAGUGUCAUGUCGCCGAUAGAAAGACACGGUUGGGCCGAUGAGGCUGCCUCAGAUUUCUCUCUUCCUGCAUGGCCACCGAGGACCCAUGCGCCUCCGGCUGCUCAGAUCUCACACCGUUUAGGGGGCCGCCUGCUGCCGUAACUAAAACAAAAACCGUACAGAGGGAGAUGCUUCCGUGACAGAGAUGUAUGGAUGUGUACAGCGAGGGCCCCGACCGAAAUCAGUCAGUCCGCCUGCAGCGCGCUGCGAGCCGCCCGCAGCACACAGCCUGCGGCUCAACACAUGUUUCAGCUGCAUGCCUGUUUAUGGUGUUUUAUAAGCUCUGUGCUCAACUAAAGCGUCACACUCUGGGGAACAUUCUCUCCUCUGACCAGCGGUGGUCAGUAGUGCUUUACACAGCAGAACACUUGUAACUUUCUGCAGUUUGAUUUUGAUCGUUUUGAUAAAUAAUAGUCGGCGAGAAAAUGAGUAGCCUUCUGGUUUGCCUGCUUCCUUCCUCAAAAUGAAGCGUCGCUGUUAGAAACAAGGACAAAUCAGUCUUUUUUAUUUACCACAUGGAUGCUGUCAGUUGCCCUGAUUUGGCGUUCCUACCCCAGGCCAUUCAUUGCAUGUCUUCCCUCUCUCCCCCUGUCCUUCUUCCCAUCAAGCUAUUACUGAAUAAAAGCCUCUAGUGCCAUACAAUCGUUAAAAAACUACUUAAAGUUGUAUAGAGGGGGAAAAAACUGACGUGAAUGUAUAAAUGGCAGGAAGUAGGAUGAUAAACGCUGUGCCACAAGAGCAGUUUUUACUGUUAUAUGCACACAAUAUCGAAGAAGAGCACUUUGUUAUUGUGUGUGCUCUUUAUUUAUUUAUUUUUUUUUAUGUAUCAGGUACAUUAUCUUUGUUUCUCUCUUUACAUGUGUAUGCUUUUAGAUAUAUUUCCUGCCGUGUUGUGAAAUCAACCAGGAGAUUUUUGCACAAAAUCCCAAUAAAAUGCAUAGCUUUUUUACAUUUGUAAGACAAAAUGUAAUAAGUAAAUAAAUAAAUGAUAAAAAGAGAGAAUAAGUUCCUGAUGAAGGCCCAACAGUGAAGCAUUCUGCAUUAAACAUGGAUUAGCCUACAGUAUUCUCCCUCAAGCCUGUCUGCAAGUAUCACCUCCGCUGUUUAGUAAUGAUGCAAUUAAGCAUCUAUUGAUCAAUUGCACGCGUGCCCUCUCAUUAAGACACCAAGUUUGUUUUGCAUUUGUAGUUUUAAUUAAAACGUCAAACUAAAUGUGAAAUCUUUCAUUGUUGCCAUGGCGUCACGUAUCCACUCCGCCGUCGUUAGUGUUCCUUAAUGUUCAGCUUAAGAAAAAAACACGCCCAGCUAUUAUUAUCAACAGCGAAGAGCGGCUCAUUCCCAAGCAUGGGAGGGGAAAUUAAGCAAAGAAUCCGAACUUCAAGCUUUUUUUUUUUUCUGAAAUCAAUGAGCCUCUAAACAUUCUUUUCCUCAUGCGCAUUGCGUCGUCUUUUAGCUCAUUUGUGAAGUCUAUAAAUACCACAGUACUGAAAGAGGCGUGGAGGCAGCGCCUGCAAACUAUUGACUCUUGAUCUGGGUGGCACGUAAAGACAUUUAGCCUCUGCGAACAUGAUGAGCUUCGCUGUGCGCAGAGCUGAGUUGACAACAUCUCUCCUCCUGCCCGUGUGAGAGAGUUCAAGCUGUUACUGCUGCUGGGGGGACACUCCAUGCUUUUUAUAAGCCGAGGAGGAGGGAGAGAGCAUAUUUGGAGUCAGUGUUUUUAGGGAGUUAAUCCAAUCAGGGGGAAAAAGAAAAAAGAAACCUCUGCUGUGGUUUAGAUUAAAACGACUGGUCACAGCAGCCUGUUCCCAAAUAAAGAACUGCAGCUACUGCUGGUAUUAGACUUUGAAAGGUCGGCAUUGUGUGCCAUUUUUACAACAAAAUCAAGCAAUUGUGUUACGUUCAGUUGUAAAAGAAAACACUGCGUAUGUCAAACAGGAGAAAUCUGACUUCAUAAUUUGAUGCUUUGAAACUGGGCCUGCGUCUCUUUAAGAAGCUCCUACUUUUUCGGACGGUCCGCCCUCAGCACUCAGCAAUGCUUCUCAUUAUGCCGUUUACAACCGUUCUUAGGAGCGUUUUACUGUUUACUCAGUGCUGCUGCCACUAGCCCGGAGGGGGCUGGGUGAGCUCUGAAGGAGGAGCUUUGUGUAAAUGGGCGGGGCUUUGUGCGAGCAAGCGUUUAGGCACCCUCGAACGGCUGCCAUGGGAGAUUCAAGGAUUCCUCAAAAUGUGUGAAAUCAAUCAAUCAAUGAAGUUAGCUACAACCUCCCCUUCACUUCAACCUUAUAAGUGGAGAUACAUUGUUGAUGUUACCGUUAUAAAAUAG